rnacentral:rRNA from 1 species
GACGAACGCUGGCGGCGUGCUUAACACAUGCAAGUCGAACGGAAAGGCCCCUUUGGGGGUACUCGAGUGGCGAACGGGUGAGUAACACGUGAGUAACCUGCCCUUGACUUCGGGAUAACUUCAGGAAACUGGGGCUAAUACCGGAUAGGAAUCCUUGCUGCAUGGUGGGGGUUGGAAAGCUUCGGCGGUUUUGGAUGGACUCGCGGCUUAUCAGCUUGUUGGUGGGGUAGUGGCUUACCAAGGCUUUGACGGGUAGCCGGCCUGAGAGGGCGACCGGCCACAUUGGGACUGAGAUACGGCCCAGACUCCUACGGGAGGCGGCAGUGGGGAAUAUUGCACAAUGGGCGGAAGCCUGAUGCAGCAACGCCGCGUGCGGGAUGACGGCCUUCGGGUUGUAAACCGCUUUCAGCAGGGGCGAAGCUUUUGUGACGGUACCUGCAGAAGAAGCACCGGCUAACUACGUG